UCAUGGCACAGGUUUGGAAAUAAUCCACUUUCACUCUGGUUUUCAGUGAUUUCACUUUCCUUGCUCCAGUGCAUGUUCGAGGACUUACCCCAGACCUGGCAGAACACCCUUUUCCUGUGUGUUUCAUCGUAACUGUGAUUAAGGGGGUAGUCCUCAGCACUCAGACGUUUUACAUUCAAAUGCCAGUUUAGGAUUCCACAGAUUUUCAAGUGUACACUUGCAGUCAGCCGUGAGGACGACGUCAGUUCUCCAUCCUACACUGAGAGCUCAGCAGGAUUUGCCAUUUGGUCAUUUCCUGUAGCACAGGCCAUCGUGCCAGUCCGGGUGUGAAAAAGGCGUGUGCUCCAAAUCCUUUUCUUAGGACCGAGCCGCAGAGACAUACCACCGACUAGAUUCUCCUGUUACAGCUCUUAAUCCGGUGAACGCUGUGUCGGGCUCCCCUUCCCCGGGUCGGGUUGGAGCCCACCUGUGGCUUGUCGGUGGGACUGCAUUUAGAGCUGGUGCUGAGGGCUCAUUUCCACGGACUGUGAGACAGAAAGAUAAGGAAAGAGGAACUUCCUGUAGAAAAGCCCCCCAAACAAAACAAACCUUAAUUGACUAAAUAAAGAUAAUGCAUGCUCAACUUAGGAUAAGCACUACGGCAAAGGAUAUGAAAUCUACCAAGCUUGCAAGACCAGUUGAAGCUGACUCAGAAACCCUAACACACAGCUGAUUGCCAGCGGGCUUCUUGUUGCCCUGGUUAGAGUCAGGCAUCCGCUUCUUCGCUGGCGCCCAACACAAACGUGCUGGGCUCACAGGUGAUUGAGAUGCACAGAGGAGGGC